rnacentral:rRNA from 1 species
GAAAGUAAAAAAGGGCGCAUGGCGGAUGCCUUGGCUCUCGGAGGCGAUGAAGGACGUGAUAAGCUGCGAUAAGCUUUGGGGAGGUGCAAAUGACCUUUGAUCCAGAGAUUUCCGAAUGGGACAACCCAAUAUCUUGAAGAGGUAUUAUCUUACUAUGUAAGAGGCUAACGCAGGGAACUGAAACAUCUUAGUACCUGCAGGAAAAGAAAAUAAACAAUGAUUCCCCCAGUAGUGGCGAGCGAACGGGGAACAGCCCAAACCAUCCAUGUUACGGCAUGGGUGGGGUUGUAGGACUACGCCGUUGCAUGAAGACAUCAGAGAAGAACUUUCUGGAAAGAAAGACCAUAGAGCAUGACAGUUGCGUAUUCGAAUGUUGUCGAAGCAUAGUAGUAUCCUGAGUAGCGCGGAGCACGAGGAAUUCUGCGUGAAUCUGCCGGGACCAUCCGGUAAGGCUAAAUACUCCCGAGAGACCGAUAGCGAACCAGUACCGUGAGGGAAAGGUGAAAAGCACUUCGAACAGAAGAGUGAAAUAGUUCCUGAAACCGUGCGCCUACAAGCGGUCGGAGCUCGUUAAUGAGUGACGGCGUGCCUUUUGCAUAAUGAACCUACGAGUUGCCUUUGCCGGCAAGGUUAAGUGUGACGACACACGUAUCCGAAGCGAAAGCGAGUCUGAACAGGGCGUAUAGUCGGCAGUGGCAGACGCGAAACCAAGUGAUCUACCCUUGGCCAGGUUGAAGGCUGGGUAACACCAGCUGGAGGACCGCACCAAUAAGCGUUGAAAAGCUUCUGGAUGAGCUGAGGGUAGGGGUGAAAGGCUAAUCAAACUUGGAGAUAGCUCGUACUCCCCGAAAUGCAUUUAGGUGCAGCCUUGCGGGUUACUGAUGUGAGGUAGAGCGACUGAUAAGAUGCGAGGGCUUCACCGCCUAUCAAGUCUUGACAAACUCCGAAUGCGCAUCAGUUCUACCGCAGGAGUGAGGGCAUGGGUGCUAAGGUCCGUGCCCGAGAGGAGAAGAAUCCGGACCACCUGCUAAGGUCCCGAAAUGACAGCUAAGUUAAACUAACGAAGUCUGACUGCUAAGACAGCUAGGAUGUUGGCUUGGAAGCAGCCAUUCAUUUAAAGAGUGCGUAACAGCUCACUAGUCGAGGAGUCGGGCGUGGAUAAUAAUCGGGUAU